GGUGAGUGGACACUUUUUGAGCACAUGUAAUGUCCCUUCAAUGGAGGAGCAAAGAUGGCUGAGAAGAGAAGCAGGAGGAGAAAGAGUCCAGAACAAGAUGCUGUGGAACAUAUAAUUGAGGAAAAAGAUAAAACAUUCAUUGAGGAAAGAUUUAUCAACCACUAUAAAGGGAGAGGUGUAUUUGCAAGAGAGUACAUUGAACCCAAAAGUUUUGUGGUGGAGUACCGAGGAGUUCUGUCUCUGAGUAAAGGUGCAGAUGACAAAAGCAACAAAUAUGCAUUUGAUUUCAUAUGGAAUGGAAAGCAAUAUUGGUAAG